UGCCUGUUUUACAAAGGUUUAUCUAACAAAAUGAAAAACCCUGUCCAUGAAAUUGAUUAAAUUUAACUUUCCCACUGUAAAAGAAAAGAAAUGUUAUUUUAAAUGCUGAUAUUGUUUAAAUUGUACAUGUUAUAAUCACAAUAUGAUAUACAGUAUUAUUAAUCAAGUAAAAUACUGCAAGUAAUAACCCUGUUUGUUCAUGACAAUUGAACAUGUGAAAUAUCUGUUACAAUAACACACCCAUGCUUUUUCCCUAUUGGGUUUUUUAAUGCAGGGUGCAUGUUUUUCUAUGAUUUGUCAUAUUUUUGUCUUCUCUUUUUAAUAAAGACCAUGGA
rnacentral:lncRNA from 1 species